CGGUCCUGCUACAGUGUGAAUGUGGAAAAGUGGAAAAGUUUUGCAAGAUAUUGACAAAUUGGGCAGAAAUUAACCCUUCAGACUAUUAGUGUACGUAUUUCACGUUGGGUUGCUUGUAUUGUUGUGUUCACUGACUGACUGAAAUCAGGCAAAAUGUUUGCCUUUUUGUUGGGGUUUGCGUCUGGGACUGCAGUGGGUAUCUACCUGUCACAGAAUUAUGAGGUGCCAGAUAUGAAGAAGCUGGUCGAUAAUCUCAAGGAUUCCGCCAAGAAGCUUGAGAAGAAACCUGACGGGGAUACGAAGAAGGAAUCGUGAUGGCUGGGAAGAGAAGAGAGAGAGAGAAGAGUGCAAAAUGGACAAGGACUGGAAAUCAGCAAUUGACACUAGAUGUCACUGUCGGGAACAGUGGAUCACAGACCUAGUAUCUUAUUUUUUUUUAUAAAUACAGGCAUCA